rnacentral:lncRNA from 1 species
AUUUUCUAAAUGCCAAAACCCUAAAUUUAUUUUCCUCCUUAGCCGCCAACACCCAAAUCCCUCACUCUAUUUUCCUCUUCCCCAAAGCCAACUGAAGCAGCCAUCAAACAACCUCUUCUCCCUCACCACAAACCACCAUUGCUCCACCCACCAAGCUCCAAACACAACCAACAACCACCGUCUGAAAACAACCCAACAACACCCCAUCUCAAGAAAAACAGACCCAAAACAGCCACCCAAUACCCCAUUCUUUUAUCCCUUUAAUCGCUGCCACCAGUGAAUCCGACGAGGAGUUUCAAACUCCGAUGAAUCGGAGCAAAAUAAUCACAGACCAUCAAGAACCAGCCCUCCCCCUUUUUAUUUUAUUAUUUUGUUCAUUUUGCAGCUAUUUUAGCGAGCUACAAGCUUCAAAACCGAUGAGCUCGAAGCUCAGGCGAGUCAACAAGGCUCGAAAACAACAUCCAUAGAACUUAAACCAACAGAUCCGGUGAAGAACCAAGCCGCCACGAGCUCAGCCAAACAAACCCAUUCUCCGUUCUUUCUCCGAACACACCACCACUGUAAGACCACAUAUCCUUUAUUUGUAUUUUUGAGCUUAUUGCAUCACUGAAAGAACAAGCUCCAGGGAGCUUCAUUCUUGGAUUUCCAUCAUUGUUGCUCUGUUUCUCUCUAUUGAUUGUUGCUUGUUACGUUAUAGUUUGAGUUAAAUUUGUCAUGACUAUUACUUUAAUGACUACUCAUUUUUUUAUUCUUAUUCAAUCGUAGUUUAGAUUUGGCCAAGCGUUUGUGUUCUUUCGAUAUUAAUUGCUGCUUGAAAUGUUAUUCGGUAUUUCCUUUGAUUGAUUAUUUACGGCCCACUGUUAGUGUUAAUCUUGUUUUAUAGUUUACUACUAGUUAUGGAGUCUUAUUUUGUUAGAUAUUUGGGUCAUUUGAUUAAUUGAAUAUUUAAUUUGCUUAUAUGUUAAAGUUGAUUGUUUAGUGUAGUUGUUAAUCUAUUAUAUUAUUUGUAUGUUAUUUCAGUUUUUAUUAUUAUUAUUAUUAGUUUUAGAUAAUGCUUGAAAUUGUCCAGUAGUUUUAAUUUGUUAAAUACCAUUUGUAUGAUCUUUCCAAAGCUUAACUGUGCAUUACUCUCUCUUGUUGUUAAUUUAAUUAUUUAAUUAUUUAUUAUGCGCGUCAACUUUGUACACUAUUGCAUUUAGAUCAUCAUUUUUAUUAUUAUACUAUUAUUAUGCAUUGCUCUUCUUUUAUUGUUGAUUAUUUUAUUACUAUUUGAAUGUCGAUAUUUAGUGAUUUGUUCGAGUUUCCGAUAGUUUUCUUUAUUAUUGAUACUUGUGAGUAUUUUUCACUAUUUUAUAUCUUUUUAUUGUCGUAUUAUAUUUUAAGUUAAAAUUGGCCAAUGAAAAAAUCUCUCCGUCGGUUUUAGAGGCCUUUUCAUUUUAAAAGACGAAAUUUUAGUUUAGGUUUAUAUAUUUUAUUUGUUAAAAAUGGUCAAUGAAAAAAUCUCUCCGUCGGUUUUAGAGGCCUUUUCAUUUUAAAAGACGGAAUUUUAGUUUAAGUUUAUAUAUUUUAUUUGUUAAGAAUGGCCAAUGAAAAAAUCUCUCCGUCGGUUUUAGAGGCCUUUUCAUUUUAAAAGACGGAAUUUUAGUUUAAGUUUAUAUAUUUUAUUUGUUAAGAAUGGCCAAUGAAAAAAUCUCUCCGUCGGUUUUAGAGGCCUUUUCAUUUUAAAAGACGGAAUUUUAGUUUAAGUUUAUAUAUUUUAUUUGUUAAGAAUGGCCAAUGAAAAAAUCUCUCCGUCGGUUUUAGAGGCCUUUUCAUUUUAAAAGACGGAAUUUUAGUUUAAGUUUAUAUAUUUUAUUUGUUAAGAAUGGCCAAUGAAAAAAUCUCUCCGUCGGUUUUAGAGGCCUUUUCAUUUUAAAAGACGGAAUUUUAGUUUAAGUUUAUAUAUUUUAUUUGUUAAAAAUGGUCAAUGAAAAAAUCUCUCCGUCGGUUUUAGAGGCCUUUUCAUUUUAAAAGACGGAAUUUUAGUUUAAGUUUAUAUAUUUUAUUUGUUAAAAAUGGUCAAUGAAAAAAUCUCUCCGUCGGUUUUAGAGGCCUUUUCAUUUUAAAAGACGGAAUUUUAGUUUAAGUUUAUAUAUUUUAUUUGUUAAAAAUGGCCAAUGAAAAAACCUCUCCGUCGGUUUUAGAGGCCUUCCCAUUUUUAAAGACGGAAAUUUAGUUUAAGUUUGUAUAUUUUAUUUGUUAAAAUUGGCCGAUGAAGACAUUAUCGCCGAUUUCUAAGGCCUCCCAUUUUAAUAAGACGGAUUUUUAUUUCUNNNNNNNNNNNNNNNNNNNNNNNNNNNNNNNNNNNNNNNNNNNNNNNNNNNNNNNNNNNNNNNNNNNNNNNNNNNNNNNNNNNNNNNNNNNNNNNNNNNNGUUUAUCCCUAUUUGAAUAGAGUAGGGAUGUAAACAAAUAUAAGAAGGCUCACCAAAGCUGACUGGGAUAUCACGUGACCUCAACGAAAUGCAUGUUGAUGAUCCUGAAUACAUGUAUCUGCAUCAUGAAACGAUGCAGGCCAAAUGGCUCAGUACGUGAAAUGUACGAGCAUGUAAGGGAAAUCUAAAAUAUAAACAGAGGUUUGAACUUGAUAAAAAGGAAACAAAGUUACCUCUUCUUAACUCACUCAACUCAAGAAUAAGAUACUUAACUCAAAGAUAUGAUCUCAACUCAAAGGUACUCAACUCAUGAUACUCAAGGAUAAAGCAACAAUAAAAUAUACAAUAUAUAUGAAAAGAUUUUAAAACAGUAGAUAGCAACUCAAUGUGUUGAAGAAUACAAUAAUAACUCAGUUUGUAUAUAUAAAAAUACAAUAUAACUCUGUGGGAGUUUCUCUAACCGAUAACCAUCACUAUGAGCUAUGUGAUUGUAACAUCUCACAACUUGAAAUAACUAGAAAGAAGCUAAGAACUUGAAAUAAUCAUUUUAGGAAAGUAUAAGGAAAUCUGGAAAUUUUAACUAAAUUAAAGUUGAGAUUUUGGUCUACUUCAAUCGGCCAUAACUCCUAGCUCAGGAUAACUUAGGUAUAGUUUCAAAUAUGGUUGGAAAUCUCUUGGAAUUAUCUUUCCAACGCCGCCAAGUUUGCGCGAUUUCAAGUUCGGAUGAGUGAAUUACGUCCUUUGGAAGUUGGGCAGUUUGAAUAAAGAAAUGCCCAAUCCGGAUUUUUAAGGGGUAGUUUGGUCUUUUCCUUACCCAAUUAAUUAAAUCCGUUGUUAGUAAAGUAAUUGGGGUCAAGACUGAGUUAGUUCAGUUUACGCUUUUGAAAAUUAGAGUUAGGGUUUUUGGAGAAAGAACGCAAGAGAAAGGAGAAGAAGAAAAGCAAGAUUCACCAAGAACGAUCGAUUUUGGUGGUGAAUUCGCCAAGGAAUUGAUCCUACAAGGUAUGUGAGUCUCUCAAAGCGUUGGGUUCAUUCACCCACGCGCCAAACAUGUUUAGUUCAGCACAGUUCGUCCUAAAAGAGUUUGAAUAUUGAUGUUCUUGACAAGAAUUCUUGAAUUUGAAUGUUGUUCUUGAAUUGGGUUGAAUUGUGGAGUUUCUGAGAUUUUUACGUUGUGUUUUAAAGUUAUCUUGAGUUAGGUUCUUGAGUACAUACGUUGGGUAUCAGGAUCUAAAAUGAAUUUGAGGAAAAUAUUUGAGUUUAGGCGAAUUGAGGCUAGAAAAUGAAGAAGGAAAAAGUCGAGUAGACUUCGUCAAACAAGUCCGCAUCGCGGACUUGUUCCCUAGUGAACAAGUCGAGUAGACUUCGUCAACAAGACGGUGAUUUUGUAACUUUUCUCAAGUUUAGCUAUUCGAAAUCAUUCCUAAACAUCAUGAGGUCUUUCCAAACUCAAAUCAUAAUCCUUGAAUCCAUAAUUCAAUUCAAGGAUCAGUUAAGAGUCAAGUCAAGAGCAGUUAAUAUCAAAGUCAAGAAAAGUCAAGAGUCAAGUUAAGAUAAGUUCUUAAAGUUUUCAAAAAGUCUUUCACAAAUGUUUAACUUUAUUUUAAGAUUUAAGUUUGAGUUCAGUAAAGAGUAAAGUUGAAGUUCUUUUCUUCAAAGAAGCAUAUGGGGACUAAGUAUUUCCCAAAGAGAUUUAAAAUGUUUUUCACAUUUAAAUAAGAACGGAAACUGAGAUUUCCAAAGAGCCUUGGGGCUAGUUUUCAUAAAGGAGUAAUAGCUUUCUAAAUGAAGCAAGAAGGGAAACUGAGAUUUCCAGGAUAGUCUUUGAGCUAAGUUUUUGAGCAUUAAUUUCAAAUCAGAGAAGAAGUAUGUUUUUUUUAAAACAUAAGAGCUAGUAUAUUUUGGGAGUAGUAUUGAGCACCGAAUUGGGGACGAGCAUGAGUUCAGAUAACUUACGUCACCAUAAAACCAUGUAGCCACCAUAGGUAGAAAAGGGUCUUACUUUUUAGAUGAAUCCUUUUCAAAAUAGACUAGUGGAUCCAUUAGGUAGUUCAGGUCCUAUACCUUUGGCCGGGUAUAGGAUACGCUGGCAACGUGAGGUAGAUCGUUGUAUCAUCACUAUAGCUCUUAUGUGAUGGUUGUCGGUUAGAGAAACUCCCACAAAAGUAUUGUAUUUUUAUAUACAUCAGUUUAUUUGUAUUUUUACAUACAUCUCAGAGUUAUUGGUAUCUUUGCAUACACACAGAGUUAAUAUAAUAUUUUUAAACAACUUUUCUUUACAUUGCACUUGUUUUUAAACUGCUUUAUAUUGAAAUAAGUUCAGUUUUGUUGAGUUGAGUUGAGUCAUGUAAGUUCUUCAGUUUCUUUCUAGCCUAUGUUGUUUUAGAAUUCCAACUCGCAUACUCAUACAUUCAAUGUACUGAUGCCAUUUGGCCUGCAUCGUCUUAUGAUGCAGACAUAGGUAAUUAAGAUCGGCCUUCCGACGCAUCGUUGAUCCAAGCAUUCCGGCACAUCGUUGAUCCAGUGAUCAGUUCAAAGUCUGUUGGUGAGCCUCCUUGCAUUCCGGAGGAUCCAUUUCAUUGUUUUCUAGUUUAGUUUAUUAGGAUGUUGUGGGGUCUGUCCCAACAUCCAUCUCAGUUGUUAUUAGAGGCUUCAUAG